CAUGUCAUGAAUACAUAGUGGCAUGAGGCGAACCGGGGGAACUGAAACAUCUAAGUACCCCGAGGAAAAGAAAUCAACCGAGAUUCCCCCAGUAGCGGCGAGCGAACGGGGAGGAGCCCAGAACCUGAAUCGGCUUGUGUGUUAGUGGAAGCGUCUGGAAAGUCGCGCAGUAAAGGGUGAUAGCCCCGUACACUAAAAUGCACAGGUCGUGAGUUCGAUGAGUAGGGCGGGACACGUGACAUCCUGUCUGAAUAUGGGGGGACCAUCCUCCAAGGCUAAAUACUCCUGACUGACCGAUAGUGAACCAGUACCGUGAGGGAAAGGCGAAAAGAACCCCGGCG
rnacentral:rRNA from 1 species